GCCGAAGUGGCGAAACUGGCAGACGCAGCUGACUCAAAAUCAGCCGAGGCUUAAACCUCGUGUCGGUUCGAAUCCGACCUUCGGCA
rnacentral:tRNA from 1 species